AUGCAGUCGAGCGGUAGCACAGGAGAGCUUGCUCUCUGGGUGACGAGCGGCGGACGGGUGAGUAAUGUCUGGGAAACUGCCUGAUGGAGGGGGAUAACUACUGGAAACGGUAGCUAAUACCGCAUAACGUCUUCGGACCAAAGUGGGGGACCUUCGGGCCUCACGCCAUCAGAUGUGCCCAGAUGGGAUUAGCUAGUAGGUGGGGUAAUGGCUCACCUAGGCGACGAUCCCUAGCUGGUCUGAGAGGAUGACCAGCCACACUGGAACUGAGACACGGUCCAGACUCCUACGGGAGGCAGCAGUGGGGAAUAUUGCACAAUGGGCGCAAGCCUGAUGCAGCCAUGCCGCGUGUGUGAAGAAGGCCUUCGGGUUGUAAAGCACUUUCAGCGAGGAGGAAGGGUAGUGUGUUAAUAGCACAUUGCAUUGACGUUACUCGCAGAAGAAGCACCGGCUAACUCCGUGCCAGCAGCCGCGGUAAUACGGAGGGUGCAAGCGUUAAUCGGAAUUACUGGGCGUAAAGCGCACGCAGGCGGUUUGUUAAGUCAGAUGUGAAAUCCCCGCGCUUAACGUGGGAACUGCAUUUGAAACUGGCAAGCUAGAGUCUUGUAGAGGGGGGUAGAAUUCCAGGUGUAGCGGUGAAAUGCGUAGAGAUCUGGAGGAAUACCGGUGGCGAAGGCGGCCCCCUGGACAAAGACUGACGCUCAGGUGCGAAAGCGUGGGGAGCAAACAGGAUUAGAUACCCUGGUAGUCCACGCUGUAAACGAUGUCGACUUGGAGGUUGUGCCCUUGAGGCGUGGCUUCCGGAGCUAACGCGUUAAGUCGACCGCCUGGGGAGUACGGCCGCAAGGUUAAAACUCAAAUGAAUUGACGGGGGCCCGCACAAGCGGUGGAGCAUGUGGUUUAAUUCGAUGCAACGCGAAGAACCUUACCUACUCUUGACAUCCAGAGAAUUCGCUAGAGAUAGCUUAGUGCCUUCGGGAACUCUGAGACAGGUGCUGCAUGGCUGUCGUCAGCUCGUGUUGUGAAAUGUUGGGUUAAGUCCCGCAACGAGCGCAACCCUUAUCCUUUGUUGCCAGCCCGUAAUGGCGGGAACUCAAAGGAGACUGCCGGUGAUAAACCGG
rnacentral:rRNA from 1 species